rnacentral:rRNA from 1 species
GUGACAUACCACUUGUUGCCUCGGCGGAUCAGCCCGCUCCCGGUAAAACGGGACGGCCCGCCAGAGGACCCCUAAACUCUGUUUCUAUAUGUAACUUCUGAGUAAAACCAUAAAUAAAUCAAAACUUUCAACAACGGAUCUCUUGGUUCUGGCAUCGAUGAAGAACGCAGCAAAAUGCGAUAAGUAAUGUGAAUUGCAGAAUUCAGUGAAUCAUCGAAUCUUUGAACGCACAUUGCGCCCGCCAGUAUUCUGGCGGGCAUGCCUGUUCGAGCGUCAUUUCAACCCUCAAGCACAGCUUGGUGUUGGGACUCGCGUUAAUUCGCGUUCCUCAAAUUGAUUGGCGGUCACGUCGAGCUUCCAUAGCGUAGUAGUAAAACCCUCGUUACUGGUAAUCGUCGCGGCCACGCCGUUAAACCCCAACUUCUGAAUGUUGACCUCGGAUCAGGUAGGAAUACCCGCUGAACUUAAGCAUAUCAAA